AGAGUUUGAUCCUGGCUCAGGAUGAACGCUGGCGGCGUGCCUAAUACAUGCAAGUCGAACGAAUCUUGGUGAAUGAAUUGGAGUGCUUGCACAAAGAGACAUUUACAAUGAGAUGAGUGGCGGACGGGUGAGUAACACGUGGGUAACCUGCCCUGAAGUGGGGGAUAACAUUUGGAAACAGAUGCUAAUACCGCAUAACAAUGAGAGUCACAUGACUUUUAUUUGAAAGAUGGAGCAAUCUAUCACUUCAGGAUGGACCUGCGGCGUAUUAGCUAGUUGGUAAGGUAAAGGCUUACCAAGGCGAUGAUACGUAGCCGACUUGAGAGAGUGAUCGGCCACAUUGGGACUGAGACACGGCCCAAACUCCUACGGGAGGCAGCAGUAGGGAAUCUUCCACAAUGGACGAAAGUCUGAUGGAGCAACGCCGCGUGAGUGAAGAAGGGUUUCGGCUCGUAAAACUCUGUUAUUGGAGAAGAAGGAUAAGGUAAGUAACUGUACUUUAUUUGACGGUACCCAACCAGAAAGUCACGGCUAACUACGUGCCAGCAGCCGCGGUAAUACGUAGGUGGCAAGCGUUAUCCGGAUUUAUUGGGCGUAAAGCGAGUGCAGGCGGUUUUAUAAGUCUGAUGUGAAAGCCCUCGGCUCAACCGAGGAACUGCAUCAGAAACUGUGAGACUUGAGUGCAGAAGAGGAGAGUGGAACUCCAUGUGUAGCGGUGGAAUGCGUAGAUAUAUGGAAGAACGCCAGUGGCGAAGGCGGCUCUCUGGUCUGUAACUGACGCUGAGGCUCGAAAGCAUGGGUAGCGAACAGGAUUAGAUACCCUGGUAGUCCAUGCCGUAAACGAUGAGUGCUAAGUGUUGGGGGGUUUCCGCCCCUCAGUGCUGCAGCU
rnacentral:rRNA from 1 species